rnacentral:lncRNA from 12 species
UAAAAAAUCAGAAGUGUUGUCACCGUAACACGCUUCUCAUGCUCGAAGAUCACAAGUAGGCUGACCCCAGCACACAGCAGAACUGGCUGGAGUGGCAGAAGGAGCAAGGCUAAAUUUCUGAAGUGACAAACAGCAACAACAUUU